rnacentral:misc_RNA from 1 species
GAUGAAGAACGCAGCAAAAUGCGAUAAGUAAUGUGAAUUGCAGAAUUCAGUGAAUCAUCGAAUCUUUGAACGCACAUUGCGCCCGCCAGUAUUCUGGCGGGCAUGCCUGUUCGAGCGUCAUUUCAACCAUCAAGCCCCAGGCUUGUGUUGGGGACCUGCGGCUGCCGCAGGCCCUGAAAACCAGUGGCGGGCUCGCUAGUCACACCGAGCGUAGUAGCAUACACAUUGCUCAGGGCGUGCUGCGGGUUCCGGCCGUUAAACCCCUUUUUUACCCAAGGUUGACCUCGGAUCAGGUAGGAAUACCCGCUGAACUUAAGCAUAUCAAUAAGCGGAGGA